AUGGUUGAGUCCACCGAACCAUCUCCAAGGAAUUAUGCUGAUUCUCCUAUUCGCCAUCGACCAGAUCAUCCCCUGUUAGGCAUGGUGACAGAAGACCAGGAUCUCCAGUUAGAAGACAUUCUCUCCUUCACCACCUACAAGGCAUACAUAGCCAAUACGGUGGAACUUAUCUUGCUUUUAUUAGCAGGUCAAGGAGACAGAGGAUCCCUUCGAGAAGGUCACCACUCACCACCACCACCACCUCCACGCCGCCAUAUUCGUUCCCCUCACUUUUCACUCUCACUCCAGAUCAAUUCUCCAUAUAGAAUCAGAGGACCUCCUCCAUAG
rnacentral:rRNA from 1 species